CCCUGCUCUGGGCCACCGUGGCCUGCCAGUCGAAGGCGGUCUCGUCCCAGGCGUUGAUGGUCAUGGGCCAGCCGCCGAACUGGUCCAGGAAGUCAGUGAGCGGCGUGACGCCCCGGGCCUCCAGCUGCGGCUCGUCCAUGCAGCCCAGGUAGAAUUUUUUGGCCUUGUUGAUGGGCGCAGGGUCCUGGGCGUCGAUGGGUUCCUCCAGGAUAGUGCCCAACGCGUUGGACAGCUCGCGGGCCAGCACGUCGAACUGAGCCCAGCGGGAUGAGUCCUCGGGCACCGGGUUGCUGUUGAUCCAGCCGCCGCAUGCGAACUGGUAGAAGUUGUCACAGGGGUCAA